GGGCAUUUGGUCUAGUGGUAUGAUUCUCGCUUCGGGUGCGAGAGAUCCUGAGUUCGAUUCUCGGAAUGCCCC
rfam:Gossypium arboreum cultivar AKA8401 contig_35866_3, whole genome shotgun sequence.